rnacentral:rRNA from 1 species
CAAGCAAGACUACCCGCUGAACUUAAGCAUAUCAUUUAGCGGAGGA